rnacentral:rRNA from 1 species
UACAGAGGUCUCAAGCGUUGUUCGGAUUCAUUGGGCGUAAAGGGUGCGUAGGCGGCGCGGUAAGUCGGAUGUGAAAUCUCGGAGCUUAACUUCGAAACUGCAUUCGAUACUGCCGUGCUUGAGGACUGGAGAGGAGACUGGAAUUCAUGGUGUAGCAGUGAAAUGCGUAGAGAUCAUGAGGAAGACCAGUGGCGAAGGCGGGUCUCUGGACAGUUCCUGACGCUGAGGCACGAAGGUCAGGGGAGCAAACGGG